CCCCAUCAACCAGUAACAGGAAAAGCAGCCGAUCACCCAUCAACCAGCAGCAGGAAAAGCAGCCGAUCGCCCAUCAACCAGCAGCAGGAAAAGCAGCCGAUCGCCCAUCAACCAGCAACAGGAAAAGCAGCCGAUCGCCCAUCAACCAGCAGCAGGAAAAGCAGCCGAUCGCCCAUCAACCAGUUUCCCAUUCACUGUGACUUCAACACAAACCUCAAAGAUACAUAAACCUGGAAAAGUAAAAUAAAAGCAAACCAAACAGAAUCUGCCUGUUUGCUGUUUAUUAAUAACAAAGUUCUAAAAACAAUUUAAGAUCUUGUGAAAAGAUUUCCUGAGAAGUGAAGAAAAUGUAAAUGAAAUGAUAAAAACAUUUCAAUGUGAGCAGCAGCUCAGCGUUAACAUCGAUUUUAUAGAAGAAGAAGAAACGCGGCCCAAACAUCCCGCAGGAGACCACUUCCUCAUUUUAGGUCCACUCAGAAAUGCAAUGCAACCACAGCGUUGCUAUAGCGACUACCCAUGCUCUUGCCUCCCAUUUUAUUUUGAAAUCCAUCAUCAGGAUGAGACUUCCUGCAGGAUGACUUCCUGUUUCUGUCCCUACAGCUGAUGACUCAGCAGCAACACUUUCAUGCUCAGACGGCAUCCCGUAACGCUGAGUCACAGCCUGACGCAACGCCGAGGAACCGGGCAGAACCGGGCGGAACCGGGCAGAACCGGGUGGAGCCAGGCCAAACUGAACGGAACUGCUGCCGUUUUCCGCCGUUCUUCACCUUGUUCAACGGUUCCAACAUCACCAGAGGCCCAACAGGAAGGUCGGAUCCAACCACCAGAUGAUGAAACUUUACAGCAUCCAGACCCACAGAGAGGAAUCCACAUCUGCUGUACAGGCCCCGCCCCCACUUUAUCCAGGUCCCGCCCACAUUCUACAGGCUCCGCCUCCAUCCACAGGCCCCGCCCCCACCUCCCUCUAACCAGAGUCUGGGCCCGGCUCGACCUCAGUGUUGAAUUUGUUACUGAAAUGUUAACAGAAUCAAACGCAGCUCCAACAUGGAGAUCCUGCAGCACACACACACUGCCGCUGCAGCACACACACACUGCCGCUGCAGCACACACACACUGCCGCUGCAUCCUGUCUCAUAAAGCUCAUCCAGGAUGGAGUCUGGCUCCUGAAGCUUCAAUGCCUCAAAACAGGAAGUGUUAAAGAUGAAAGCUUCAUCUGGAGGAACCAAGAUGGCCGACAGUAGAGAUGUUCCAGCAAACACCAGUCACAGCUUCAGAAAACAAUCUAAUUAUGUCGUUUAGAGGAAAAGUCCUACAAGUUUUAUUCUGUAAAACAAAAAAGUUUCUAUUACGUUUUCUGUCAUAAUUACCUGGUUCUGUUUUAAACUGAAAAUACAAAGAAGAUGGGAAUAAUCUGCUCCAAUCUGCUAGUUUUGCUUCAUAAAUGAAAUAAAGAUAGACUGGUCAAUCAGAA